rnacentral:lncRNA from 1 species
UUCUAUCAUUUUAAGUGUAACUUUUCUAAUUAGUUUUUGUGCAUCAUUUUCACAUUUCUGCAUGCAUAUUUUCCUUUCAUGUUUAGAAUAGGUUGGGGGGUAGAAUGUUGUUUAAAAAAAAAUUGAGUGAUUUGUUUUAACAUUGGAUGACAUGAUUAAUUUCAAAUUUUAGUAUUUGUAUUAUCUUUGGUCUUAAGUGAUGUUACGUUAUGUUUGCUACUUUACAUGUUGAUGUCGGAGACAAAUAUGAGUUACUUGAAGGAAUGAACAUGUCAUAAAUAAGUGCCAAGUGAGUUUUUGAGCCUAUCAUUUUUCUUGGAGAGUAACUU